rnacentral:rRNA from 1 species
GACGUAGGGGGCGAGCGUUGUCCGGAUUUAUUGGGCGUAAAGCGUGCGUAGGCGGCUGCGCAAGUCGGUUGUGAAACCCCGGGGCUCAACCCCGGAACUGCAUCCGAUACUGCGUGGCUAGAGGUAGGUAGGGGAGAUCGGAAUUCCUGGUGUAGCGGUGAAAUGCGCAGGUAUCAGGAGGAACACCGGUGGCGAAGGCGGAUCUCUGGGCCUUACCUGACGCUCAGGCACGAAAGCUAGGGGAGCGAACAGG